AGAGUUUGAUCCUGGCUCAGAACGAACGCUGGCGGCAUGCCUAACACAUGCAAGUCGAACGAAGGCUUCGGCCUUAGUGGCGCACGGGUGCGUAACGCGUGGGAAUCUGCCCUUGGGUUCGGAAUAACAGUUAGAAAUGACUGCUAAUACCGGAUGAUGACGAAAGUCCAAAGAUUUAUCGCCCAGGGAUGAGCCCGCGUAGGAUUAGGUAGUUGGUGGGGUAAAGGCUCACCAAGCCGACGAUCCUUAGCUGGUCUGAGAGGAUGAUCAGCCACACUGGGACUGAGACACGGCCCAGACUCCUACGGGAGGCAGCAGUGGGGAAUAUUGGACAAUGGGCGCAAGCCUGAUCCAGCAAUGCCGCGUGAGUGAUGAAGGCCUUAGGGUCGUAAAGCUCUUUUACCAGGGAUGAUAAUGACAGUACCUGGAGAAUAAGCUCCGGCUAACUCCGUGCCAGCCGCCGCGGU
rnacentral:rRNA from 1 species